rnacentral:rRNA from 1 species
GGAAUUACUGGGNGUAAAGCGAGCGCAGACGGUUACUUAAGCAGGAUGUGAANUCCCCGGGCUCAACCUGGGAACUGCGUUNUGAACUGGGUGACUAGAGUGUGUCAGAGGGAGGUAGAAUUCCACGUGUAGCAGUGAAAUGCGUAGAGAUGUGGAGGAAUACCGAUGGCGAAGGCAGCNUCCUGGGAUAACACUGACGUUCAUGCUNGAAAGCGUGGGUAGCAAACAGGAUUAGAUACCCUGGUAGUCCACGCCCUAAACGAUGUCAAUUAGCUGUUGGGCAACUUGAUUGUCCAGUAGCGUAGCUAACGCGUGAAAUUGACCGCCUGGGGAGUACGGUCGCAAGAUUAAAACUCAAAGGAAUUGACGGGGACCCGCACAAGCGGUGGAUGAUGUGGAUUAAUUCGAUGCAACGCGAAGAACCUUACCUGGUCUUGACAUGUACGGAAUCCUCCAGAGACGGAGGAGUGCCUUCGGGAACCGUAACACAGGUGCUGCAUGGCUGUCGUCAGCUCGUGUCGUGAGAUGUUGGGUUAAGUCCCGCAACGAGCGCAACCCUUGUCAUUAGUUGCCAUCAUUUAGUUGGGCACUCUAAUGAGACUGCCGGUGACAAGCCGGAGGAAGGUGGGGAUGACGUCAAGUCCUCAUGGCCCUUAUGACCAGGGCUUCACACGUCAUACAAUGGUCGGUACAGAGGGUAGCCA